rnacentral:rRNA from 1 species
UACGUAGGAUGCAAGCGUUGUCCGGAAUUAUUGGGCGUAAAGAGCGCGCAGGCGGUGUAUCAAGUCAGAUGUGAAAGAGGCCGGCUUAACCGGCAAGGGUCAUUUGAAACUGAUAGACUAGAGUGCAGCAGAGGAUAGCGGAAUUCCCGGUGUAGUGGUGAAAUGCGUAGAUAUCGGAAGGAACACCAGUGGCGAAAGCGGCUUCCUGGUCCGACACCGACGUUCAGGCACGAAAGCGUGGGGAGCAAACAGG